GAAUUCACUAGUGAUUCAGGCCUAACACAUGCAAGUCGAACGGCAGCACGGACUUCGGUCUGGUGGCGAGUGGCGAACGGGUGAGUAAUAUAUCGGAACAUACCCAGUAGUGGGGGAUAACUAUCCGAAAGGAUAGCUAAUACCGCAUACGAUCUGUGGAUGAAAGCAGGGGAUCUUCGGACCUUGUGCUAUUGGAAUGGCCGAUAUCUGAUUAGCUAGUUGGUAGGGUAAAAGCCUACCAAGGCGCCGAUCACUAGCUGGUCUGAGAGGACGACCAGCCACACUGGAACUGAGACACGGUCCAGACUCCUACGGGAGGCAGCAGUGGGGAAUUUUGGACAAUGGGGGCAACCCUGAUCCAGCAAAGGGGCGUGAGUGAAGAAGGCCCUCGGGUGUAAAGCUCAUGCUCAGGGAAGAAACGGAGUUCUCUAAUAUAGGAU
rnacentral:rRNA from 1 species